CAUACAUAAUGCUCUUAUCCAGGGUGCUUUAAAAAUUAUGCAAAAAUAACAUGUAAACAAAGGAUAAAUAAUUAGACUCACUGAAACAAAACGAGAAACGUACCAUGUUGUGCGAUGGCCUAUUAUUUUUCAUGGACGACAUAGUCAAUGUAUUAAGAUAUCUGUAAAAACAAUAACUUACUCAAAUGAAAAUUAAAAAUGGUGCUCACUUCACUGUAUAUUGCACUGCUGAACCUUUCCUCUACACUGAGUUUUCAAGGUUUCAGAAAUGCUUUUUGAGAAUUGUAGCUCAUAUGUCAUCUUGCUACUGCACAACAACAACAACAACAACCAGGACCAGUGCGAGGAUCUUUGGCUGCAUUGGCAAAGCUUGUUGCCACCUUCCAAAAUGUGUCUUCAGAUGUGCAGGUCUGUGUACCUUUAACCCCUCUUGAUUGGUGCAUUCACGGCAACUGCAGCGCAUGCACCCAUCUUAGCCAAACAGGACUGGUGAGAUGAUGAUGAUGCUUAAAGUUGAUAGAUGAGAAAAGAGGCUUAUAGUCUUCAGGAAAGUCAUUACCUAAGAUAAUGUAAGACAUUAACAACAGGAGUCAAAUAGCUUAUAAAAUGCUCAUGGCAUUGGAAUAUGACAGUUACUAUUGUAUUGUAUUUCUGCACUCAGGUAAAAUGCCAAAGAAUCGCUAGGGAUGCUAUUCUCUUAAGCUGCCAAGAAGACAGGUUAAUCCACCAUGGUCUGAAG